AAUACAGGAGACCUUGCAAAGCAGUGUUUGAUAGAUCCCAUUUGGUGGGGUAGAAAUAUCACUCUUAGCUAAGAACCACAAACCAUUUUCAGAAUUCAUAAAUGGAAAAGUUCUUUCAAGAACAAUAUGAAGAAUAUUCCUAAUCCAGUGGCUCCACAUGCAAACUUUGCCUCCUGACCACCCAAGGCAUCAUUUUAGUCAACUACAUCUCCUUCUGGAGCCUAACUUUAGAAAAUGCUUCCCACAUUGUCUCUUUUAGAAGACAAUUUUGAUACAUGAUGUUAGAGGAAACAACUACCUCAACAAGUUUGAAACUCCUUCUAGAAAUUGCUCAGCAGCAACACAUACUGCUUUUCCAGUAAAAGCUCCUAUUUGACAAAGGCGAAACUCCUUGGCCCCACCUGGUGGUUGCUGAAUCCAGCAAAUUCACCUUUUGCAUUUAAGACCCUAUCAGAAGCUGUACUUUGUCCUUUGACAUCUAUGGAGUUAUAGACAUUGAAUCUCCUUCGAUGAUGAAGUGAGGUCUCAUUCCAAGUGCUUAAGAUAAUGAAACCUGUAUGAGGACAGAUGAUGCAACAUCAGCAAUUUUUGCAGUGCUAUGAAUUUCAGGUGGCGUCUUAAUUCGAAGUAGGUUACAAGAUAAAAUACGUGAAAAAGAUACUCCAAAUUUAAAACAGGACUUUCAUGCAAUAAGCAUAAAUGCUUCCUCUCUAAGUUAAGAUCUGGGGCAUAGUCUGUAAAUUUUAGAUGCACGUUUUCCUCUUGGAUACCAAUUUCUGACUAUAGUAAACCAAUAAUUCUGAGGGCUCUGAUUAAACAUAUUGAACCUAGCAAAUAUUUGUACUUCCCUCUCUUAAACCCAUUGAAAUGAUAGUAAAGAUAUGCAAAAGGAUAGGAUAUGAAUAGGUGAAAUAAUUAGGAAAUUCUCUUAAAAAUGCAUGGCAUAUGGGAUUACACUAACAGAUAAAAUAGAACAGAGAAAAAUAACUAUUCAGAGUACAAGAGAAGCCGCAAGAGAAGCUGCAGUGAAGGUGGAAUCUGUUACUCUAUGAAGAGACCCCUGGCAUUGGGAACCUGAAAGAGAGCAGACACUAAUAAUGCAUCUGGCUAAAGAAUCUGUUGGCUGGCUUUUGGGUGGUGCAUAAUGAAGAACGUUUAUGUUUCCGACUUCAAUAAGAAAAAUUAAGGGAAACUAGAAAUUCCAGGAAAAGGAAAAUGCUGUACAAAAAUUCAUGACGAAAAUAUGAAGCAUUAUUAUAGGAAAUUUAUGGAGUCUAAGAAAAGAAAAUCUUGACUUAGAACUUGAAAUAUUCUACUUUAAGUAGAUCUGAUUUAAGAAUAUAAAUUAUAUCUCCUCUACAGCUGCACUCUGGUUCUGCAGUGAAUAAUAUUGAACAAUAUCAUAAUAUUAUAAAUGAUGUUUAUCUAUUUUUGCUUCUCUGAAUCAAUGUAUAGACAAAGCGAUGAAUACUUAAUUAAAAUUUCCAUUCAGAAUGUAAAUGUUUUAAACCUUGGCAAUAUAAAAGUAGUGGUAGAAAUGAUGAACAGUAGGAGUUAGAGGUGGGAAGGAGAGAUGGGAGAGCGUGUAGGAGUGACCGACUCCAUAUCAUACACCAUGAUAUGUCUGAAGUUGACAGAACAAGAAAUAAAAGUCAAAAAUAUUAUUUAAAGUAUAAACAAUAGAAGAACAAAAAGAAAAAAUGGGAGCAGAUACAGGGAAAAACGAAGCAGAGUAGUUGCUAUGAGCUGAAAUAGUAAUCUUUUACAGCAAAGAGUUAAAAGACAAGCUUAAGUUGGUAAGAUAAGAAAUAGAUAUUAAUGUUGUAUGAAACAGAUACUUCGAGUUAUAGUGAUAAUCCCUGGAAGAGCUAAAGACAGAAAACAUCAUGGGUGGCAGCCUCUUGAGAACCAGGCUAUGGAUAGUGGAACUAGACACACUUUUCAUCUGGCACCCUUAUUUUUUAUUGAAAUUUUAUUUCCAUGAGCAUGUACUUCUGAAAUUCUGAUUAGCAUGCUGACAUUAUAACAUCCCAAGUUUUGAACCUUUUUGAUUUUCUAAUCCUCAACCGAUGAGGCAGUGACUGUAUGUAAUGAUCAAAGCUUGACAGCAGGUUAAAUUUCCAUGGUCUUCAACUCUAAGGUGAGUGGCCCCUCUCUAGAGCUCUCCAAGUCUGACAUAUAUUGCCUUCAGAACUGUAGAAGCAAACGUUUCUGAACUAUUUCCAACUACCUACUUGCCUGUCCUUCCAAGAUUACCAGUUUUCUGUGGAUGUCAUCUUCUCUUACAACCAAGCAUCAUAAAUCCCUCAUAGAUCUCCUUCAUGAGGUGUGCUGUUCAAGUCCGAGAAUGCCUCACUUUUAAUGAUCAAAAAAGAAAAAGCUGACAGAACUGAAAUCUUGACAAUAGGAACUUUCAACUUUCAGCUCUAGCAGAGGGUAUUAAUUUCACUUCUGGAGCACUCAUAAUCUAAGAAACUUCUGGAUCCUAAUGACAAGGAUGGAAACAACAGUUAUUAAAUCCCAUAAAUAUCCCCUCUGCCUAAUUAUAUAGCAAAGCCAAAUGCUGAAGAACCACAGGAUAAAAUAUAAUGCUAUGCAUUCCACUUCCAGAGAUAUGAAGCUGCCAUUUUUUCCUUCACUCUCUGUCUUCGUCCAGCCUCCAAGCACACCCCUAGCUUCACUUGACCUUACUUGGUUCAACAUAUCCCCAGGAUCACUUCACUUUGCUUGCUUUAACAUGUUUUCAUACCAUGUCACCUUACUUGCUUUAGCACAUAAUACUGACAGAUGAAUAAAAUGAAAACUGCAGCUGAAAUGAUCAAAACUGCUUAAAGGAAAAAGAUGCUGAAGUUUGCCAUAGUAAGAAAAAAAAGAGCAUAAAUUUUGAAGUAAUACAAAGCUGUCAUAGGGUUUCAAACUAGGAAGUUCAAGUACCUUGGGUAAGGUCACACAGCUUGCAAAUAUUAGAGUCCAGCCCACAGUUGUUUUCUUAAGUAAAUAAUGAUUAGGCAUAAGGGAGAUGAUCAUCCUCGAACCUAAAAAUCUACUACAAACUUAAUGAAUAUUGCCUGGCCUGAAAAUUGAUGAUGCCACAAACUUUUUUCUACAUAUUGGCAAAUUUCUACUGAGGUUUAUUCUAAGCCUUGAUGGGGUACUUAAGUUCAGGAAAAUAAAAAUAUGGAUUUUUUUCCUCAUAUAAACCACAAAGAGAUUGGGACAAAAAUCAUUCCAUCUAAUUACACCAAUCACUAAGAAGAGUAAAUAUAAGAGUGUUUUAUUUCUGAAAAAUUAGAAUUAUUUUAAAGGUAACCUAUUUUGAUUCCAACAUUACAGAAUUAACAUAAAGUAUAUAUUCCCUAAAACACAUCAAACUUUUAUCCAGUUGUACUCUUCUUUAUAUAGCUAAAUGUGAAAAUGUAAAAUGUAUUAAUUAUUAAGGGGUGCAGUAAAAAAAAUUAAAACAAUGCCUUAAAUC
rnacentral:lncRNA from 1 species